UUCCAUGUUGCUAGACAUGACUGGUU
rnacentral:piRNA from 1 species